UACGGGGGGGGCAAGCGUUGUUCGGAAUUACUGGGCGUAAAGGGUGCGUAGGCGGUCUGUUAAGUUGGAUGUGAAAACUCUGGGCUCAACCCAGAGCCUGCAUCCAAAACUGGCAGGCUAGAGUUCUGGAGGGGGUAGCGGAAUUCCUGGUGUAGCGGUGAAAUGCGUAGAUAUCAGGAGGAACACCGGUGGCGAAGGCGGCUACCUGGACAGAAACUGACGCUGAGGCACAAAAGCUAGGGGAGCAAACAGG
rnacentral:rRNA from 1 species